CCUGUCCUCGCGGUCACGGGCUAAUAAUAGACCAUCAGCGAAGACAGCUCUUGCUGGCGUUUCUAACCCGUUGAGAUCACAGGAGGACGUGUCUUCAGGGACGUUGCCAGGCCGGUGGAUGCAGGGACAUCAUGUUUUUAAGCUCUGUGACGAACUGACCAUCUGUCCAGGGAGUCCCCUCCCGAUGACCCAAGAUGCUGACGCAGACUCCAGCCCCCCGUGACCCUAAAGAGGAUCAGCUUUUUGGGGAAUGGAUGGAUGGAUGGAUGGGUCAGGUAGUUAAAACCUUCUUCUUCGCUUGUUUUUGGAUCCAGAAGUGCUGUACUGUUUCAGAAGAUCCAUAACAGUGCCCCCUACAGUAAGACAGUGACAACGCUUCCAGUGUCCAGAAUAACUUGCCAGCGGUGGGAAAGUGUCGUGUCAUAAAUAGUGUCAUAAAAAGACAUAGUUUCAUUAGGCCUAACUUUCUGAACCAUUUAUACAGUUCUCGAAAACCAAGACGUUUCUCAAAACAGUUAUUACAUUCCACCUUUUUGCGCAACAUAUUUUUUUUGCAAAACUCUACAAAUGAAGACUCAUUUUGCACAGGUUUAACCAAAAACAAACACACAAUAUAAUUAUCUCAAGCAUCAAGAAAUGAAAAAUGUGAACAUUCAGUAGCAAAAGUCAGUUUUUGUCUAAUACAGUAGAUAACAUUCACUACAUACCUGGUAAAAGCCUCUUUCUCUUCUUUAUCUGCUAUAGUAACCUAUAUUACACACUCGUCUCUCACUACCGGUGGCUCACACUAACAAUUUUGCUAACUUUCGCACAAUUUCCAACCUCCCUUUUCUCUCAAACAUUUUAGAAAAAGUUGUUGCAUCUCAGGUUUAUUACCAUCUUUCAAAAAAGAGUCAAAACCUUCAAUCUGGUUUCCACCCUCUACAUAUUACAGUGACGGCCUUGGUAAAAGUACUUACUGUACUUGAUCUAACCACGGCUUUCAAUACGAUCUCUCAUCAAGUCCUCUAAGACAGACUACUCUCUGUAUUACUGUAUUACUCUUAGUUUCAGAUCCUAAUAUCUAUGAUCGUACUCAAUUUGUUUAGAAAAUUUCAAAUCAUACAUUUCACCUGUUAUAGCUGGUGUUCCUCAAGGCUCUAUUUUGGGCCCUGCCCUUGUCUUCUAAGCCAAAUUCUUUCUUCUUUUCUCUUGGAUUGCUUAGAAGAAAUGAAACCCUUUUCAUUUAAUUUUCUUUAGUUGAAUACUGACAAAACAGAAAUUCUGCUCAUUGGUACCAAAUCUAAUCUGUCAGAAUCCAUAGUCACUUUCAGUUGAUAAUUCCAUAAUGCUCAUCUACUCAAGUCAAAAGUCAGAGUGUCGUAGUAUCCUGAAUUAAUAAUAUUACUCAGUCUACGUAUUUUCACUUAAGGAACAUCAGCCACCUCCAUCCAUUCUCCAAAUUCCACAGCUAUUCUUGUACAUUCUUCAAGCAAUGUUUACUGUAACUCCUUUCUUUUUGGGCUAAUUACUAGAACUUCUUCUAUCGAUCUCCGGUUCUCACCAUCUUUACUGGCUGUCGUAUUCAUAUUCAUGGUUCUGUUGUUUGCUGUAUUGUUCACUAGGUUUCAUCUUUUAACUGUACGGUUUCCUUGAGUUCUCUGAAAAGCGCCUUUAAAUAAAAUGCAUUAUUAUUAUUAUUAUUAUUAUUAUUUGGCAGGUUUGUGAAUCAUCUGAAGCCACAGUUUGACAAAAGAUAACGUGCUUUGAUUUUGACCAUGAAAGUUUGAAGUUUGAUGUGUAGUUUUGAGAUUUUGUUUAGUUAUGAGAAAAUGGCGAGUUGUUUCAUCAAUUGUGUUAGCAAUUUGAGCAAUAUUAGCAAUAUUGUUUAUAUCCCUCUACCUCCAAAGCGGCUCAGAUCGGAGUAUGUGAGUGGUGCCGAGUGGAAGCAGGGAUGCGUGAUUUUGCCUGGAGCAAGGACGAGAUUUUUGAAAGUUGGUGCAUCUGUGUUUUCUCUUGUCCUGAGAUCACUCAGAGAUAAAGGGUGUCAAUAAUCUUUGAAUGAGGAAGGGAAAUUGGUAACACUGGGCUUGUUGGAAAACGUUGCACUGUGGAAAAAGCCUUGUCUUGGUUUUAGGAUAAAGCAAGCCACGCUUUUUGCGUCACUGUGAGUCAUUUGACCUCUUGUUCCUGGUUCAUGCCAGAGCAGAGCACCCUGAUAUGUAACUGUGACCCCUCUGCACUGUAUGCUAAUUCUGUCAACUUUCCUAGCCUUCAAGAUGGGUAUUUGCGUCCCUUUAUGUCUGUCACAUCAUGGAAAACGAUAACAAGUCGUUGGAGGAGAAAAACUGUUUUUUGAGCAGUGGAAAACAGGCCCAAAUUUAGCAGAUCUGACAGUCUGGAGAUUGUCAUAUAGUCACACAGGAAAAUGAAACAAUGGCUUCCAGCAACUGAGGAAUCUGGGUGUACCCAGCGGGAUCUGGAGGGCGUUUCAGGACAACAGUUUAAUGGAAUAGAAACUCCAGGUCAUCACAUUGGUCUCAGAUGUAUCAUGGUAUGUUUACCUAUUACCUAACAGUGGGUCAGGAGCAGGCAACAGUCAAAAAUAAUUAGAUCACAACUCCGUCAGGAACGAGGGCGGAGGAUGCAAGCAUCUCCUGAAUGAAAACAGCAGUUACUUUAAAUCAGAAUUUAAUCAUGUUUGCAUUUGGGACCUUAAAGUGUGGAUUUUUAGAAAAUUACCUGUGAAUGAUAACAUCCUGCAAAGUGCACCAUGUAUAAAGUCACUGUUUCUCAAAAGAAAGAGUAGACACUAAAAAAAUGGAAUUUGGAAUUCAUUGAGCAAAUAAGGUAAAAAUAAAAUGAAAGACAGUGAAAGUGUUUUUUGACCUUGGCAUAGAGACUAUGAAGUCAGGCAAUUCUAUAGCCAUAAGAACGUUUUGUUAUUUACAGAAUAUGCUAAUUACUAUUCAAAGGUUUGGAGCUGUGUAGAAUAGCGCUUGUUGUUUCUCUGUUAUGUUUACACUGCACUGCAUUGCGUAAAAAGACAAUAUUAAGUCAUGAUUAUCUAUUAUUCCCUACCGGAUGCAAAAAAUGCCUAAUUUGUAAUGACUUUUACUGUUUUGGUGUCAUAGUGCCACCAAACACUUGAGGUAUUCAACCAAUCACAAUGCACUGAAUAGCUGGCCAAUCAGAGCACAGCUCACUUUUUAUUAGAACAAUGAGUUUUGUACCAUGUAUGUCGAUUUUUGUUUUUAUGUACAUUAUGCAUCAAUGCAACAUGCUAUUUUGAAAAUUGAAAUGAAUAAAUCUCUAUCUAAAUAUUUGUAAUUUAGCAUUAGUAAGAAUGAAGUUGCAAUUUAGUGUUAUUCAACAGUUUUGACUUUGAAUGUCAGAAAUAUUAAACAGGCAAAAGUACUUUGCAUGUGUUUUAGUAUGUUGGUCAAUAUUAUAUUUUUAUAUCAUUUAUCAAACGUACAGUUAAGUUUCAGCAGGGGAGGUAUGACACCUCAAGCACAAGCAAGUCCUUUCAAGUCAGCCAGUCAGACGCUGUCUAUAUCAAAGUUAAGAAUUCAUUACUAAGCGCGUGAAAUGUGUAAAUGAAAAAUAAAAAAAAAAAAGCAAUUAAGGUCGUCUGUUCUCAGAAUGACUCCGUUCCGUCAUUCCACAUCGGUCACAGUUCAUAUAUACGCAAACUACGGCGAACAUGGAAAACCCCACAGCGUCUCCUGAGAGGAAUGUCUGUCUUUGAUGGCAUGUGGAGAUUUGUGUCUAUUUUAGAAACGUGUGCUACUUGAAACAGAAGAGAUUACAAGAAAUCGUUUGGCGUUCUUUCUGGUAAAGCGUAAUCUUAAAUGUUGAAUCUGGUGCCACCGAUAGCUGAGGGGCAAGAGUUUUGAAAAAUGAUGUUACCAUAUUGUUGUGUUAGUGACGGUACAGUGACUGGGUAACAUAGUCAUCCGACACACGGAGAGGAUUCCUGGGAUAAAUGCCAUAUUCUAAUAUAUGGGCUCCUCAAAGAACUUUGUAGAUAGUUAUUUUAAUAAUCUAAAGAACUUUUUUUGCACUACAAUCUUUUGUGGUUAAGUAAGGAACUCUAAUAUAUACCUCAGUUGUAUUUUUGCAAACAUUUGUUAAGCAUUUAAAUAUAUUUCUAAUUAUGCAUUUAAUGAAGUUGCAGGUUAGUACAUUCAAAGUCUAUUUACUUUAAAUGUAAUACUGAGUAGCAAACUACAGUUACACACUACACAAUAAUGUUUUUGGAAAUAAAUAAAUUAUUAAUGUCAUGAAUGAACGGUCUGAGGCGUGCGGGUCCAUGUGCAGGCUUUUAUUAAACGAAGGCAUGGUCAUAGCAGGCAGGCGUCAAACAGGGUAAACAGAUAUAUAGGAGGCGAGGCAAUCACAAAAUCCAGAGACAGGCGGAGGUCAGGUCAGGCGGCAAACAAUCAGAAUAUCCAAAGACAGGCAUGGUCAAAACCAGGAGAACUAAGACUAAGGAAAACUCGGGAAACAACAACAGAACAGGCAAAACAAUGCAACCUGCAGGUGAGUGGCUUGCUGCAGUUUUUAUAGUCCAGGAACAGGAAGUUGUCGCAGAGGGAGUGGAUGCAGAUCACCCAGA